AGCACGCACGUGCCUUCCUGUCUGUGCCUGCCUUCGAAGUACACGGCAGGGCCAGGACGGGUCGCUGUGGGUGAGG
ensembl:miRNA